UGGCAGACAGAAAGGCAUGGAAAAUGGGUGACCUGCAUGAUGGAAGCCUGUGUCUGUGUCUGUGUAUAUGUAUUUAACUAAACACCGUCAUUUUUGUACACCCACACUUCUUCUCAUUUUUCUCUUCCAAAUAGAAAGGAAAUCGAGUAAGCCGUGAUUUGGGUUUUGCUCUUUUGCCUUCUUCUUGUUCAGGUAAUAUCUAAACUCACUCUUUCUCUAGUUUUUCUGCAAGAUACUUGGAGUUUUAGAUUUAGCAAAAUUACUUGGUAUCAGAGUAAGGAAUGGAAACCAAAAAACUCUCCUUCAAAUGCAACCCGACUUCCUGAAUCUGUCAACAACUAUCACUCGGGAGUUAAUGAGAACUCAGGAGCAUCGCUAGUUACCCAAAUGUUGGAUUCCAACAACGAUCACUCUUGGGCUAGGUCAAUGAAGAGAGCCCUUAGGAUGAAGAACAAACUCGAUUUUAUUGAUGGAACAAUUUGGAGAACCUACUGAUCCUGACAGCCCUGUGAUGAAGCAUUGGUUGUGUUGUGAUGACAUCAUCAUAACAUGGAUACAGAAUAUUGUGUCUGUAGACAUUAAGAGAAGUACUUUGUAUGCUAAGACAACAUAUCAACUAUGGAGUGAGCUUGAGCAGAGGCUUGCUCAACACAAUUCCCCUAGGGUUUAUGAGGUGAAAUAGUCCAUAGCCAGCCUAGUGCAUGAGAAUAACAAUGUUAGUGUCUACUUCUCCAAGCUUAAGGAGUUAUUUGAUGAACUACUUAAUUAUGAGUAUGUCCCUAAUUGCACCUGCAGUGGUCUAAAGUCCCUAAUUUAAUAUCAGGAAAGGGAUUGGUCAAUGAAGUUCCUAAUAAGACUAGAUGAGAGCUAUAAAAAUAUAAAAGGCUCAAGUUCUAAUGAUGAAGCCCUUCCCAAGCUUGAAUGAGGUGUACUCAAUAGUACAGUAGGAAGAAAAAAGGAGGGAAAUUUUUGUUGAUCUUGGCCCUAAUAGAGCUAUGGCCUUUAUCAUCAAAGACUUCAACAAAAACUCUAAAGCUAGUGCAGUAGGAAAGGAAAAACUGUAUUGUACACAUUGUAAUACCACAGACCAUAUGUUAGAGAAGUGCUGGAAGGUCACUUGAACUAAACCCACCUGCACACAUUGUGGAAAAUCUGGGCACACCAUAGAUGUUUGCUACAAAUUGCAUGGGUACCCCAAAGAGAAAAAGCCUCGUGGGAAGGGAAGGGGAGCUAUAGCAAAUCAGGUAUCUGGGGGGGAAGGAAAUGAAACCAAUGAUGUGGGGAACAACAAUGUGAUAACUUAAGAGCAAUAUAUUUAGCUCAUGCAACUGCUAUAGCAGAAUCCUGCCACUGCCAACAUGGUGCAGAGUCAUGUUUCAAUCAGCAUAGAGACAAAACUGCAUGACUUUUCUGGCUUCGAACAUGGAAGACAAUUGGAAUGCAUAGGCAGGAACGUGGAUUGUAUAUUUUGCAGCAGAAAAGAGAAUUUUUUGUGAAGAGCAAUGUACUUUUGCAACUGUUAGAACCCAAAAGGGUGAAUCAGGAACAAAUUUUAAGUUGUCAUUAUCGCUUAGGGCAUUCAUUGUUACUAAAAACAGGUUCUUUUUUUUUUUAAAAUGUCCAAAUGUGUAAAGCAUGAUAUUUGUGAUGUAUGUUCCUUAGUUAAGAUGUACAGAUUAUCUUUCGGUGUUAGUGAAUACAAGUCUGAACACCAGUUUGAUCUUA